UCAGCCCUAAACUCUGUCGUCUUUGUUCAAGAACUAUCCUAAUGUCGUCUCGUCGAGAGAGCCGCGAUUCUGACUCGAAACGCCACUGUUCCUGUUACGAUAAUACCCUCACGUGUGCUUCAAAAACAACCCUAAUGUUGUCUCAUUUUGAAACUUCUAAAUAGAUAAAGAUUGUAACUUUCCUUGCUUAUAAAGUAGUUUUUCUUAGAAUUGUAGCAUGCGACGGAGUUUUCCGUUGAUGUCCAAAGUUUGUGCAGCUUGAAUUUGAGAUCCUAGGAGGCUUGACAGAGUUCAAGAAAAUUCAAGUUUCUCAGCGGCGGUGGUGAGGUUGAAGCAACAUCAGUAAUUCUUCACCAAAAAACUUUAAUUCUGAAGCAGAGUCUUCGACGAUGGUGA
rnacentral:lncRNA from 1 species